UCUCCGUAGGUGAACCUGCGGAGGGAUCACUACAGGCUUGCAAAAGCUCUGAAACCACUGUUUAUCUACCUGAACCUGCUUCGGCGGGCGGCCCCAGGGCGGGGCCGUAGCCGCAAGGCGCCCGCCGAAGACCCCUAAACUCUGUCGUCUUGAGAAUCUCUGAGUAUCAUAUUAAACAGAAAACAACUUUCAACAACGGAUCUCUUGGCUCUG
rnacentral:misc_RNA from 1 species